GUGCGCGGGUCUAUGCUUUUGAUCGGUAAAGACGGAGAAAAGGUGCUGCUUCUUCUCAGGGAUCACUGACCUAGGCUGUGUUGUGCGAAGCAGCUACUUGGUGCGAGGCCCUCUCUCCCUGGUCCAUAUAGACAGAAAUCAUAAGCUAAUAAGGUACAAUGUUGUGAUCUUUGGUGGACUGGAUGGCUACUCAAGGAAGGAGCUUCAGGAUCCAGGCAUUGACUGGGAGAGUGCUCUACUGCAGGAGGAAUCCAACAGCACAGUUGUGGUUCCUGAUGUUGAAUGCCCACUGGAUGAAGAAGCCCUGGAAGGACUUCAGAGAACAAUUAAUCCUUUGGAACAUUCAGGCUACGUCCACGCUAAUGCGUUUUCAAACGCAUCGUUUUCUCUCCGUUUUGGCCCCCCAUCCACACUGAGACGGCGCUUUCCUCAAGGAAGAACACAGCGUUUUGAAAACGCUCUCGAAAACGCAUACAUUUCAAAAAGCAACUGUCCCGUCGCAAUGUGGACACACGAAAACGCAGACUUUCUAAAACGAUGACGUAUUUUAGUCAUGUGACGCAGUCAUGUGAUCAAAUAAACAAAGAUAGCGGAGGGCAUUAUACAGCAGUUGUUUUGAUUGCUCUCAAUUUUGACAGCCCUAAAAAAGAUUAAUAUCAGUUUGUACAUGCUCCAGAUAGCUUUUCUUCAAAUUCAUUAAUUCUCACUUGCUUUUUAAUUCUCCCAAGCGUUUUCAUCCUUUUCAAUGUGGACGUACAACUCUGUGAAAACGACUAAAAAUGCUAGUGUGGACGCGGAGCGUUUUCAGAUGAAAACGCCGUUUUCAAAUCUCUCCGGGCUAGUGUGGACGUAGCCUCAGAAUCACACAGUCGUGACCUGUACAUAUAAUUCUUGCAACAGGUGUCAAACCAACAGUGACAGCUAACAUGGACUUGAAAAUCAACGCUCUUAAAAGUUCUCAAAUACUUGAUUUCUUUGCUAAAAUGUUCAGAUUACAAUUAGACAAGCAAACAAAGCACUUGCUUGGUAUCUCUCAACAUAGGACCCUACACCAAAUUUUACCAAAAAAUGUUUAACUAAUGACAAGAUAAGUACACAGAAAGUGCACAGAAAGUACCUAAACAAUGGAGUGUUGAUAUGAUUUGUACUUUAGUUUUACAUGGUAAUCAGCUGCCAUUUUUGGGUUCCUGUAGCUAAAACUAAUCUAAUUGAAUCCAGCAACACUGCAAAAAAUUACAAAUUUAAUUUGAAUCAACUGUAAAACAGAUGACCCCAAAAAAUAAAAAUUGUAACCUUCAGGAAGGUAGGAUUUAUGGGCAGUGUUGGGUAAGUUACUUUAAAAAAGUAAUUAAUUACUAAUUACUUAGUCAAUAUUGUAUUUAAAAUACUUAUCUAAUUACUGUGUCAGAAAAGUAACUUAAUUACUACAUAAGUAUUUAACUAAAUACUUCUUAAAAUCCAUAUAAACCUUGAGUGGACAAACAACAGAAAUUAAACUCUUUAAAUAAUACAUACAUUUUUUUAAAGACGGAGACUCUACAGUACGCAGCGGUAGCAUCUGUUCCACAAUGUAGCCUGCCAGGGCUGGACUGGGACAAAAAAUCGGCCCGGGCAUUUUGACUAGAGACCGGCCCACCAGGUAUUAUAGGAAAAACCAUAAAGCCUUUGAAUGAAAAC